AUUGAACGCUGGCGGAAUGUUUUACACAUGCAAGUCGAACGGCAGCACGGACUUCGGUCUGGUGGCGAGUGGCGAACGGGUGAGUAAUGUAUCGGAACGUGCCCAGUCGUGGGGGAUAACGUAGUGAAAAUUACGCUAAUACCGCAUACGAUCUAUGGAUGAAAGCGGGGGAUCGCAAGACCUCGCGCGAUUGGAGCGGCCGAUAUCAGAUUAGGUAGUUGGUGGGGUAAAGGCCCACCAAGCCAACGAUCUGUAGCUGGUCUGGGAGGACGACCAGCCACACUGGAACUGAGACACGGUCCAGACUCCUGCGGGAGGCAGCAGUGGGGAAUUUUGGACAAUGGGCGAAAGCCUGAUCCAGCCAUUCCGCGUGCAGGAUGAAGGCCCUCGGGUUGUAAACUGCUUUUGUACAGAACGAAAAGGUUUCUACUAAUACUAGGAGCUCAUGACGGUACUGUAAGAAUAAGCACCGGCUAACUACGUGCCAGCCGCCGCCGUAA
rnacentral:rRNA from 1 species